UAUUUGAAAAAAUCUCCAAGGGCAUGAAGGACAGAGGCUGUAACAGGGACCUGUAGCAGUGCCGCUUGAAACUUAAGGCGCUCAGGCAAGCCUACCAAAGAACCAGAGAGACAAACGUCUGCUCUGGGUCAGAGCCCCAGACAUGCCACUUCUAUGAUGACCUGCAUGCCAUUCUAGGGGGUGCCCCUACAACUACCCCACCCGUGUGCAUGGACUCCAUCAAUGGAUUUUCACGCAACAGGGACGCAGAUUUUGGUGACGAGGAAGAUGGCGCAUAGCAAGCAAGCAGAGAAACCGUUUUCCCCGACAGCCAGGAACUGCUUUUCACCCUGGAUCUAGUACCCUCCCAACCCACCCAAGGUGGGCUCCCGGACAGCGGAGAAGUGACCUCUGCUGCAAAUGUUUCACUGCUCCCCAUAUCAUCUCCGUCCUAGAGGCUAGCGAAGAUUAGAAGGUGA